GAUCGCUUUGGCUGUGCAUACACUAAAAUUAGAAUGAUACAGAGAAGAUUAGCAUGGCCCCUGCUCAAGGAUGAUAUGCAAAUAUUCAUGAAGCCUUCCAUAUUUUA